UUGUGGUGGUUCUGGGGUCCUGGUGGGGGGUUCUGGGUGGUCAUGUUGUCCUCAUUAGUAGUACCGAGAGCUCAGCGCUGUGAACAAACCGUCUGUGUUCACUAAUGAACAAACAGACAAUGUUUCAGCUGGGACACCAACCAACUCUUACGCAACUCAAAGGUCACAGGUUCAAACCCCACUCUUGUCCUGUAAGAGUGUCCUGAGUCCAACUGCUCACAGCCUCAUGUGGCACAGAUCAUUUACACAAACAGCCGUAUGACUUCUGAUUUUAAUUUAAACAUAAAGCUGUGAUCAGUGAAGUCACACAGACAAACAGGUUAAUCCUCCCACCCUGGUGGCUUCCCUCAUUUGUCUGCUUUGUGCACACACACCUGGUGUUUGUGGACGGCGUGCUGCAGACAUUCCCCAAACUCUGCCGUCUUCCUGCCUGUAACUGCACCAUGAAACGCCACACAAUGGAAACAGUCUGACUUUCAGUUUGAAAAGUUGACGACUUCUUGUCAUGAGCGCUGGCUGAAAGGUUCUGCCUCCCACAUCAUGAUUUCAAUAACAAGCCAGAUCCUCAUGUGACGCUCAUUAAAGUUCAAAGUGUUCUCUGUGACUGAAAGAACUUGAUCACAGGUACAAGCGGCUGAAAUGGGCUUCCUCAGGAGGGUGGCUGGUGUCUCCCUUAGAGACAGGGUGAGAAGCUC